GUCCAGCAACUCGUGUCAAUAUCCGCUCGUUAAAUGCAUGCAUGUCUUUUCAAAAUAAACUUCCGACUUCACAGAAAAGUACUAAGUUAGGUUUAGGCAACAAACCUAGUUAGUUAGGUUUAGGAAAAGAUCGAUUUUGUUAGGUUUA